CAGUAUGAUUCAUGUUAUGAACAGGCUUCUUAACAUAAAGUAGCUCAGCCUACGACUAUAUUAAGUGUUAAAGUUACCAGUACUCUACCCUGCUCACUGAUUCCCACUCAGCAACUUGGUACCUGAGAAACAGACUUUAAGAUGGAUGCUUUAGAAUUAAGACAACUGCACCGCAUACUCCAGGAUUCUGCUCGUGUUGGCCUCAUACUGAGAGUCGUGGAUCAGACGUGCAAGACAGAGAAGAAACUGAACUUCUGCCUGAUAGGAAAUCAUCUAUUCCUGUGG